rnacentral:lncRNA from 1 species
GCGCGCGGGACAUAUGGUGCCGAAACCCGGGAACAUAUGAACAUCUCCAGCACCGCGGAGACCCCUUGGCUACAAGGCGGAUUCAGAACUGCAGGAUGGUAAAUUCGGAGAGUCAUCAAGCUGUGGUACUGCAAGAAGCCACACCUGGUGUGGUAUUGGUAUCAAUAACACCAAUCUUGAUCAUAUGUCAGAGAGCUUCGUAAAUGAGAAUGUGCCUGAAGUUAUCUACAGUGUCCCAGAGCUCUCCCGGGAGGUGUAUGCAGCUUACGAAGAUCAAGGCCCUUACUCCUAUAUUAACCAGAUAUUGAAGGAGGCCCAUUUCUACAGCCUUCAGCGGAGAGGACAGUAUCCAAUAUGAUGACCUCAGUUGUUUGUAAAAAGUAAUGGCAUUCACACAAAUGUGUCUUGGUUUUUGUCUGUAUUUUCAGUAAGAGAUCAAUGGGCAUUUGUACUCUUUCUCUGUUUUGCUCCACCACUUUGAAUUCCAAGGGUCUUUCAUGAUACUUAUAUAUGUUUUCUGUCAAGUCUAGUGUCCAAUUUAUGUUAAGAAGUAACAGGUGGACUUCUCCUGAUACUGAAGGGAUUAUAUAUUCAAUUUGGGUUGAGUUCCAAGUCACUCUUUUAGGGUCUCCAUGUUAAGUGUGUUUUUAAAAUGUGACUCCUUUUUCUGAAAGGCUAAGUGGUGUGGAAAAUGUGUGGUUUUCAUUAAAACGUGGAAAAACAGACAGUAUCAACAAACAAGGCAACACCAAACCAGUAAUGAGCAUCGGGGAAGAGGGAGAAUGUGACUUGUUCUCAUUCUGAAAUGAAUGGUAUGGAUGCUCCUCACAACAGACUUGCUACAUUGAAAUCACUCUCUACCUAUACGGGGGACAUUGUGGCUCCAUGUACUUGCUAAUCUGAACCCUGUAUCAAGGAACUACACUGUUUGAAUUUCAAGGCAGAACUGUCUUCUUCCUUUAAUGUCCCUGUGUGUGCUCUUCAAUCCCAUGGAAUGCACUGGU